rnacentral:tRNA from 1 species
GGUCUGGUAGUUCAGCUGGUUAGAAUACAUGCCUGUCACGCAUGGGGGUCGCGGGUUCGAAUCCCGUCCAGACCG